rnacentral:lncRNA from 1 species
AAUCGAGGAUUUAUUGAGCAUAGGAAGGAGCGGCACGAGGAGCAGCCCCGCACGGCAAGGUCAGUAAGUCAAUAAAUAUAUCCUUUAGACUGAUAUAGUUGUUUUGCAGGUUAUUUUUGUUUUGCAGGAACGAUCCUGUCGCUUUGGCCAGGAUCCACGCAUUCUGUCGCUUCGGCCAGAAUCAGACUCUAAUAACGAGUCGGUCCAUUUUGU